rnacentral:rRNA from 1 species
UGCGCUCUUGACAUCCUGCGAACUUGCUAGAGAUACCUUGGUGCCUUCGGGAGCGCAGUGACAGGUGCUGCAUGGCCGUCGUCAGCUCGUGUCGUGAGAUGUUGGGUUAAGUCCCGUAACGAGCGCAACCCUUGUCCUUAGUUGCCAGCGGUCCGGGCGGGAACUCUGGGGAGACUGCCGGUGACAAACCGGAGGAAGGUGGGGAUGACGUCAGGUCAUCAUGGCCCUUACGGCCAGGGCUACACACGUGCUACAAUGGGGCGCACAGAGGGCAGCAAGCGCGCGAGUGCAAGCGAAUCCCUUAAAACGCCUCUUAGUCCGGAUCGGAGUCUGCAACUCGACUCCGUGAAGUCGGAAUCGCUAGUAAUCGCAGAUCAGAAUGCUGCGGUGAAUACGUUCCCGGGUCUUGUAACACACCGA